rnacentral:misc_RNA from 1 species
AACGCACAUUGCGCCCGCCAGUAUUCUGGCGGGCAUGCCUGUCCGAGCGUCAUUUCAACCAUCAAGCCCCCGGCUUGUGUUGGGGACCUGCGGCACACCCGCAGGCCCUGAAAACCAGUGGCGGGCUCGCUGUCCACACCGAGCGUAGUAGCAUAUCUUGUCUCGCUCAGGGCGUGCGGCGGGUUCCGGCCGUGAAACCCACCUUCUCGAAGGUACCCAAAGGUUGACCUCGGAUCAGGUAGGAAGACCCGCUGAACUUAA